rnacentral:rRNA from 1 species
CGUUAAUCGGAAUUACUGGGCGUAAAGCGUGCGCAGGCGGUUUUGUAAGCCAGAUGUGAAAUCCCCGGGCUUAACCUGGGAAUGGCAUUUGGGACUGCAAGGCUCGAGUGCGGCAGAGGAGACUGGAAUUCCUGGUGUAGCAGUGAAAUGCGUAGAUAUCAGGAGGAACACCGAUGGCGAAGGCAGGUCUCUGGGCUGACACUGACGCUCAUGCACGAAAGCGUGGGGAGCAAACAGG